rnacentral:rRNA from 1 species
UGGGGAAUAUUGCACAAUGGAGGGAACUCUGAUGCAGCGACGCCGCGUGAACGAAGAAGGCUUUCGAGUCGUAAAGUUCUUUUAUAUGGGAAGAUAAUGACGGUACCAUAAGAAAAAGCCCCGGCUAACUACGUGCCAGCAGCCGCGGUAAUACGUAGGGGGCUAGCGUUAUCCGGAUUUACUGGGCGUAAAGGGUGCGUAGGUGGUCUUUCAAGUCGGUGGUUAAAGGCUACGGCUCAACCGUAGUUAGCCUCCGAAACUGGAAGACUUGAGUGCAGGAGAGGAAAGUGGAAUUCCCAGUGUAGCGGUGAAAUGCGUAGAUAUUGGGAGGAACACCAGUAGCGAAGGCGGCUUUCUGGACUGCAACUGACACUGAGGCACGAAAGCGUGGGUAGCAAACAGG